GGAAGUUUCAAAACGUCUUUUCUCCACGGGACCUAUUUGGAGCAUAUACCAUGCACACAAUGCAAGUACAUGAUCAAGUAUGGUGAGGGCUUAUGAGAUUCGCUUUUAGAACAGAAAGAAGGGUCAAUUUCCCUUGCUGUAAAUGAUCUCUAAUCAGAGCUUACAGCAAGGUAGAUGAAAGCCAAAGGGUGCUCUAGUGGUGGCAUGUAGAAAAAAAUAUGGUUCAAAAGGGCAUAAUGCAAGUAUUCAAUUUAAUAUGGUAAAGGCUUGUAAAACUGAACCAUAGAUCAUGAUAGGGUCACUUUACCUCGCUGUAAUUGAGGCUAUAUGUGAUUUACAGCAAGUUUGAUGAAGGUUGAAGCUCCAUCAAUGGUGGUGUGGAGCUUUGAGAUGCUAUGGACCAUGUGAGUUGUAUUGGAGAGCGGAAUAAGGUUAUGUGAUCUUCUCUCUCACGGACCUAUGGACAAUGGAGAAUCGCUCACUCACUCUCUCUAGGCUUAGGUGUGCCAGUCUUUGGACUCACACUCUCUCUAAGCAACAUAGCAUCACAUUGGUUGGAAUGUACAAAUGGGUGAGGACCCCUAUUUACAGGCUCGAGAGGAGAGUGCAUAGGAUAUUCCUGGGAAAAGCACUGAAAACCCUUGGUCAUUGAGAUCUAUGGGGUAUAAGAGAAGCUUUGAUCUAAGCCAUCCAUUCCUUUGCCAAUUAUCACAGAUCAAGCGCAUGAAUUUAAACACCAUUAUACCCUUGGCCAAAUUCAAACUCAAUUUUCCCUCCAAUUUGAAUUCAAAUUUCCCAUCCAAUUUGAAUUCAAAUUUCCCAUCAAUGUUUCAUUUCAAGACCACGUCCAUUUAACCAAAAUUCGAGUUCUUCAAAAUGAAAAGGUUGCCCAUGUUAAUUUGAGUUAAAUUAGGAGAGAGAGUGACACUGUUAGAGGCAUGUCCCUUAGAUCAAUAAUUUCUCUCUCCUUUCACAUGAAGUAAGAGAUUGCAGAAAUUCUGUCUUUUAAGUAAACUAACUUGCACAUGGGGUGGUGAAUGAGAAUGUGAUAGUGUCCAUCCAAAUGGUACUUCAAUUUAAAAUUGACUCUACAGGUUUCAAACCAAAUGUCAAACCUUGUGCCCUUUCCAGAUGUUUUGCACACAUUACAUAUAAU
rnacentral:lncRNA from 1 species